AACCAGUACUCCACCUCCACCUUGCUGGCGUCUGAGUCGGACUGGAGCUCUCUGCCCUUUACCAAUCCAGCCACGGGCCCAUCCAUCUGGCCCAUCAAGACUCACUCUCAUUUCAUCAGUCCAUAAAACCUUAGAAAAAUCAGUCUUGAGAUAUUUCUUGGCCCAGUCUUGACAUUUCAGCUUGUGUGUCUUGUUCAGUGGUGGUCGUUUUUCAGCCUUUCUUACCUUGGCCAUGUCUCUGAGUAUUGCACACCUUGUGCUUUUGGGCACUCCAG